UCUGCCACAUCAGAAAGUCGCGCCUUGUCCAGUCGACACAUGUCACGUCGACCAAAACUCAACGUUUCAUUUAGUUUAGUGUGUCAUAUAUUGUCAUGUUUGUGUUUGGACUUUAUAUUUUCUUAAUAAAACCCAAUCCGAUAAAGAGCAAUACAACGUGAUGUUUUAUUACAGACAAUAACUCAGUCCGACUGAAAGGUUAACAUCUUAUUCUUCACGACACCCAUCGUCUUCUUCUAGGAUUCAUCGCGAGACAUUCAUCCUAUUAAGAAUUAUCGCCAUUAGUGGAGUUUCUGGAGGUUGUGUGAGAAGAAUCUUCCUGAUGAAUCUUUGGGUCGAUCUUCGUUCGCGUCUGUUCAUCUUAGAUUCUUCUCCUCCAAAACGUUACGGAUUCACCCAUUCAUCGCCAUUAAGAACCAUCUUUACUCCUUUGACCCACAACAAUCACUACAGAUCAUUCAAUGCUUUUUAUUUUUCUUCAAGGCGAUGUUUUAUUCACGUAUAAGAAGGUCAGUCCUCAACUCCUGAACAUCAUCGUCUUCUCCCUCUCUAUCUAUUCAGUUAUACUUAUUGUUAUUUAAAAGCAAUUCGUUGCAGCUUCGUCUCCCUCCUUUGUAAUCAAACCCUACACAAAACCUUUCAUUAACAAUCAACAUUUUUUAUAUCGAUUCAGUUUACCCACUUUGGAUCGAUUCAGUUUACCCACUUCGGCUCAAAGGUAUCGCAGUGCUUGGAAACAUAGAACGCCAGGAAGAAUUUUUUUAGUCAUAAAAACAAAAGAUUUGAUGAAGAACUUUGGCUAAUCUUCAAUUCUUCAAUUGAUUAUGCCACUGUCAUACGUCCACAAUCUCUUCGUCUGGUACCAGCAAAAGUUAGGUUUAACAAAUUUUCCUCCAAAUUCAAUUUUCUCAUGAUAAAAUCAUCAUUAUAGAUGCAAAUAUUGUAAUUUUUGAUAACCAUAAUUUAUUUCGACAUGCUAUUUGGAAAGGAUAAAAAUGGUGUCCACAUAUUAUAUGUUCAAAUUUUGUAAAUACCAGAAACUGAUGGAGGUUUUACAUGACAUCUGCCAACGAUGUCUCUCAUUGCUUUAGACUUUAGCUACUUGCACGAUGUGAAAGUUCCCGGUAAAAGAUCCCCAUUGUUCUCAAUAAAGGAGGAGAUGACAAGCUAGAUGGAAAUGCUGCUUUGAACAAGUUUUCCAGCCAUAGAUACUAGAGUAUGGAUGAGGAGGAUGAGACAAGCCAAAUGCAUAUCAAUUUCUCUUUUGGUCUUCUAUUUUAACAACUUAUCUUUCACCUUUUCACUCACAAUAUACCUUCUCAGGUGGUUUUAGAUGUGACAAAAAAAACCUUUUGAAAAAAACCAUGAAGUUGCAUUGGAGGAUGAAAUCACAGACUAAGAGCAGAAAAAGGAUACUCCACGAGCGGCCAUCACUUUGAAUCUUAUUCUAAAUUGUAAAAGAAUCAAUGAAAGAGUUUGUACCUACAGUUGAAACCAGACCUUGAUCUGCUUAGGCUCGAUAUUUAGACAAAAUGGAACAUUUGAGAUCAAUUAAUUAUUGUGGCUGGAGCGCCUCUGAUUGCUCUGCCCUGUACUUAACGUACUUUUCCAAUAUUUUCAUGCUUCAGGUUUGAGUAAAAUUCUGAAUAGUUUCAUUUUUUUUGCCCAGACGCAUAGAUUUAUGGUUUCUCUAGCUUUCAUAGCUGAUAUCAGAGCUUUAGAGUAUGCAUGCUUAGGAGAUGUGUGCCGAUUUAUGAUGCCGUGAAACAUAACUAUAUCGUGUAGUUUGUCAAACAUGAGAUAGUUUUGAAGUGGAGAACCUCAGAAAAUGGAAAUGUACAUCAAUGCAUAUUUCAGACUUCAAUUAUGAUGAAAUCAUAAAAAAGGGCAUUAAACUUAGCAUUUUCGACAAAGUUAGAUUUUAUUAACUUGAAAGUUGAAUAUCAGAAUACAAACUUGGAGUAAGCUACUUAAGUGGCUAUUUCUUAUCAUUAUAGAAAGCUCCGUUAGGAAAAUCCUUUUUGGCAAUAGCAUGUGCUACAUUAUUCUAAUUACGCCUAACAAAUGAAUACGAAGAGAAAGUAAACUUCGAAUUCUAGAACUCCAAAUUACUUAGGAUGUUAAUAAUUAAAAGUUCAGUAUAUACUUUCUUUUAAAUUUUAAGUAUAUAAAAGCCUCUGCGGCAUCAAUGUAAACUUUUUCAUUGAUGGUUGGAUAGACAGACAAUGCAUGAAGAUAGCAAAAGAUGAAUGUGACCGAAAAUAUGAUUAGAUGAAGUCAUUUUUUAAAAAAUAAAUCAAUAACAAAAUUCUGAUUUAACAUAAUUUACUAAAAUUUUAAUUCAAACCAACACUACGUACUAUUUAUUAAAGAAUAAUGAGGAUUACUGUCAUUUUAAUUUAAACCAAAAUAUUUAUUAAAAAUAGCAAUAUGAUCUCAUAAUUUUUUUCAUUAUUUGUUUGUUUAUAAUAUUUUUCAAUCUAUAAUGAUUUUUAAAUGGUUCAUAAAUUAAUAUAAAAUAAUAUUUAUCAUAACUUUUUAUUAUAACUUCCCGCCCGUAUGGCGGGCCGGUCCUAAUCUAUCUAUCUAUCUAUAAUAACAAAGGAGAGAGAAUUGUCUCUCUCCAUAGUCCUCCCCAUCAUCAAUUAGCAUCUAUAAUAAUAAAGGAGAGAGAGUUGUCUCUCUCCAUAGUCCUCCACAUCAUCAAUUAGCAUGGGGCUAAUUACGCCACGUGGUCACUUAGUAAACAACCCUCCAAAAGUUAUAUUUUCAUUUCGUUAUUCUAAUAGAUUUCUGGUUGCUCUUGGUCCGCACUGAAAAAUAAAUCAAGCCCACCAUCUAAUUCUAUUCGACGAGGACGAGUCAUAUUCUUAUUUGUAUCAACAACGCUGCCUAACCGAUGUUGAAAACGUCUCUCCAGCUUUCAAGUGACUAAGUUACUUAUCGAUUCAAUUUCUCUCAGUAAUAUUGCAAAACAUGCCGUAGUAAAGCUGCUGCAAAGGUUCCAAAUAAACCACAAAGGCCAGCCAGUUCAUUCUUCGUUUUCAUUGAAGAUUCCCGUGAGACUUUCAAGAAAAAGCUUCCCAAGAACAAAUUCGUUGCUACUGUGAGUGUCUCCUUAGGUUCAUCUUCAAAGGCAUACUAACUUUAAAUUUGUAUGGAUAAACAAGUUGGAAAAGAUUCUGGAGACAAGUGGAAAUUCCUACAGAUGUUGUAUGUACUUUAUCUCAGUUUUCAUGUUCUAAACUAAAUAUAAUACUUGAAUUUCACAAUAAUUCUGGAGAAAGAACCUCAUGUUGCUAAGGCUAAAAAGCGCAAGGGUUGACUACGAGAAAACCUGAAACCUUGCAACAAAAAAUUGAGGAAGAUGAGGAAUUAGACGAGUCAGUGCUAGAGGUUAAUGGUGGAGAUUACAAUGAGGAUGGAAGAGAGGAAGAGAACUAUGACUAAGAAGUUGAAGUUUGUAGCAUUAGUAUAAGAUGGCUGCAAAGAUAUCUCUGUCUGUAAUCUUAUCAAAUGUUUGUGGGGAUGAUUAAAAGAGGGCUGAAUAGGGUGCAAAAGCAAAAGACUACACUUACACAAAGCUCUUGAAGCUAGAGACAAUGCAGCUGAGAAAGCUCAGAGAAAUUUUGACUAUUUAACAGAGUUAGGGAAGCAAACGGGAAACAUUGAC